rnacentral:lncRNA from 1 species
AGCGUUGCGGCUCGAGGCAAAGCUGGUCCUGUGCCUGCUGUCCAUUGCCGCUAAGGCCUGCUGCUGCCAUUCAGGCGUGUCUCUCUCUCUCUCUCUCUUUCAUGCCGCUCUCUCCACCCCAUCUUGGGACGGCCAGCUCUAAGAAUUCCUGCUACGACACUGAAUUCAACCAGGAGGUGAUGCCACACUCAAUCAGAAACUAUGCUACUGCUGAAGAGGUAUAUUGAGCCCUGCCUGGUUAACCUCCAGUGAGGUUAUUAGAGAAUUGGGAGAGGCUCAAAUCAGCAUCCUGCACCUAGUUAUCAAACCAUUGUGAAGUCUUGAUUCCUGGAUGGCCAGAAAACUUGUCAUUGGUCAAGAGCAACAUUAAGAUCUGCCUGUUACUCAUACUGAUGCUUCCUGCCCAGCAAGUUCAUCAGAGGGCGAGGAUGAAUUACGGUUGCCAUGAAUGUCCUUGUGAGGCAGUUGGGAAGCCUUGGCUGGAUUGUGAAGGAUAUUUGAAAAGUAUUUUAGAGUCCACCAGAUCAUCCAUGUGAGUGACCAUGCAGCAAAAGAAGGAGGGUCCUCUCAGUGAUUAAGGAUUAUGAAGUAUUAAUUCUUCCACUGAUAUCUCAAAAGGUGAUCUGGACAAAGGAACAGGUAUCUCAGAUUCCCAGUUCUCAAUCUUCCUUCCUCCUUACAAGAUACAAGCAACCUUCAACCUUCCCA